GCGAGCUCUGCGGAGUGGUAGAUCGACUCCAACUGGAAGAAGAGGAGGGAAUGGAGAAGUGUGACCUGCUGUGUGAAGGCCUGGGCUGUGCUGCUGUGCUGGGAACAAUGCUGAUCUCUCACCAGCACGGGUGGUGGGGAAUUGGCACUGUGGCCAUAUGUUACCUGUGCAUAACACCACGGCUUGAGAGUCCCUUUAACAAAAGGACGUGUAAACAUCCCAGACAAGUGUGAAUUUUGUUCCAUCAGGUGGGAAAAUUGAAGUGACAUGGAAGGGAGCUGAGAAGAGGCUGGUGGCUGGGAUCACAGUGAUUUUAGCCGUGUCUAGCGGAAAGAAAAGGAUACUGACAGGUCAGAGGGGAAACAGGGACACAGAAAGGCUUUAUAUCAGCCGAGAGAGGAAAGCCCUGUGUGAGUGCUUUAACGCUGGGUUUUGUCAUGGAGGUGGGAGGAUGGUGACUUAUGGCCACUCCAGGGCUCGAAGCGGCAGGGCAGGUGAUGUCUUGCAUAAGGCACCAUCAGCACUUUAAAGCGACGUCCAUUAAUAAAUACCGCAGCACUGAAAGCAUUCUGCUGCUUAUCGGCAUGAGGGGAGCCAUGACCUUUCCACUCUCUUCCCCUCUCCGUGGGAGCCUGAUGGGCUGCGAUAACCCACUUAGCAGGCGUGUGGGCGGCGGGUGAUGGCGUCAGAGUGACGAGGAGGCCCUGCUCGAGCCAUCUCCUUCGCGCUACAUUACUCUAAAAAUAAAUGCUGCCUCACGUCAGGAGCUGCUGGCUGUGCCUGGGCUCCGCACGGCUGCUCCUCUCCCUGGUGUCUGUCAGAGCCGCUCUGUGGCAGCCGAUGCAGCUUCUGAAACCUCUGAAGCACUGAGGAUGGUUGUGCGUGGUGGGGAGCUCUGGGGCUGUCAUCAGGGGGAUGUCAGCCAUGAGGGCACCCGCAGCAAGCUGCUCCUCUGGGAGCUGAGCUGGAGGGCAGGAUUUGCCUGUUCCCAAACAGGCACUGCUGGUGUGAGGUGUUCACAGCACAUCUGGCACAGGGAGUCCUUCAUUGGGCUGAAGAGAUCUGCCAGCUGUGUGCAGAGGAGAGAAACCGGAUCCUUCAAGUUCAGAUGAAACUGUGCUGAGAAGGUUUAUACAGUUAGCCACACUUUGAGCUUAUUUACUCUCUUUUCCACUGAGGAAAACAGAUAUAUCAUAUACAGAGAGUAAAAGAAAA